CAGCCGCCGCGGGAAUACGUAGGGUGCAAGCGUUAAUCGGAAUUACUGGGCGUAAAGCGUGCGCAGGCGGUUAUAUAAGACAGAUGUGAAAUCCCCGGGCUCAACCUUGGAACUGCAUUUGUGACUGUAUAGCUAGAGUACGGCAGAGGGGGAUGGAAUUCCGCGUGUAGCAGUGAAAUGCGUAGAUAUGCGGAGGAACACCGAUGGCGAAGGCAAUCCCCUGGGCCUGUACUGACGCUCAUGCACGAAAGCGUGGGGAGCAAACAGGAUUAGAUACCCCAGUAGUCCCUGUCUCUUAUAU
rnacentral:rRNA from 1 species